UACGAAGGAUCCAAGCGUUAUCCGGAUUCAUUGGGUUUAAAGGGUGCGUAGGCGGUUUUGUAAGUCAGUGGUGAAAUCUCUUUGCUUAACAAAGAAACUGCCAUUGAUACUGCAGAACUAGAGUACAGAUGACGUUGGCGGAAUGUGUCAUGUAGCGGUGAAAUGCAUAGAUAUGACACAGAACACCGAUUGCGAAGGCAGCUGACGAAACUGCAACUGACGCUGAUGCACGAAAGUGCGGGGAUCAAACAGG
rnacentral:rRNA from 2 species